ACUGUGACUUUUUGGGGGCGGAACCAAAAGUGGCGAAGGUUGGUUCCGCCCGAAGAUGGUUUCCGCCCGGCCCGUAUAUUACAAACACCGGAACUUCCGGGAAACUCCGGGAGGCAAAUUGGGCUGUACGAGGCACAGGUGAGGACAAUAAACGCGGCGAUCGUGGAUUGGAUAAUGGAGAGAACAGGAAGGGUAUAAAAAGAGUCUCAGAAAUUCAAACAGGAGUUGGAGUUGAAUCGUUUCAGGCCGAUCCGGCGGGCAGUGUAGAGGUUUGGGCAGAGUCAGCAUUGGUGAAGGCAGAGGGACUUCACGGGGUGAAGAAGGAGACAAGGACACUAGCAACUGGGCUGAGUAUACAACAUUUUUUGAUGUUUGAUGAGACCAUCUAUAUAUAAACUACUGAUGUGUUGGAGUCACAGUCAUAGGAAGUACUCACCGGAAGUAACGUCAAGGGCGAUCUCCAGCAACGGAAAACCGAUGGUGUGAAGAGGAUUGGACAGCUAGAAGGAGAAGGAGACAAAGGAAGAGUGGAAUCGUUCAUUUGUGAGUACUAUUGGACAGUGCAUUGUACAUCAUUGGGGAGAGUGCAUUAUCCAGCGUAUGUUGUGAGCAUCUGGUAAAUAGGCCAGCGGCCCCAUUACGGAGCAGAGUUUUGGGUGAGCCGGGAAGUACGAGUACAGGAAGCCGCAAGCAGUCGUGACGGCAACGUUAUUCCUCCGGCCCUUCAUCUAUCAACAACGCCCAACGAAACCCCAGGAUAAGUCCUAGUAAACCGUGGUUCUGACCCUAUUUCACGUAGAGUGUGUGGAGUGCAGUGGGUGAGUCCUUGUCUUUGCUGUGAGUGUGUACACUUGAAAUCUUGCAGUGUUAUGCUGUGGUUGUGUUGUCAGUAGCCACCCUAGACUGGAUGAGUCGUGGGGGAGACCAGUGACCGUUGAGGCUGGUGAAGCGCCAUUUUCAUCUAAAUGCCAUUUUGCGACCCCUGCAUGGAGACCCAAAUGUAACGUCCUGUCUAGACCCUUUCAGAAUACCCUGGCUCUGUGGAAGCGGUGGUGAAGAAUACACGUAAGCAAGACUGGUGUGAGUAAAAGCCAAAAUUAUACCUAUAUGCAAGGAGGAAGUUUUACUGUUGCAAAUUAGCUGUGUGGAUUUACUUUACCUGUUGUGGAGCCUCUUCAAAGGUUCACCCCGGUCCAGAUCCCUUAAACUGCAAAUAGAAGAGAGGAGAGGGAAGCGUUCGGCCCGGUGCGACAGUGUUUAACUUUCCCCGACGCACAGGAAAUCCCUGUGGAGGACUGCGCUACGACGAUUUACUACUCCAGGUCUGACAGUUCAUCUACUUACUGUAUCGCAGUAUUUCACCGUAAGCCCACCGCCCAGGAGAAGUAUUCUAGGAGAAUAGAGCCCCAGUUGCCUGUGGAAUACCUACCUUUGCCCAUUGCUGCGAAUCACUAAAUGCCAUUGGAGUUCUGUGUCGCGGGUUGGCGCUCACCUCGGAGUGUGCAGAAGGGGAGGCGCCGCCCGAGCACCCUGUACGAAGAGAUCGGAGGAACAAGUCGUUUAUCAGCCAGUCGUAUGGACCCAAGUAACAGGUAGCCACUCUCACCGGAUCGAUUACUCAUUGUGUGUUUCACUCUGCCUUCAGGAGAAAAGAAGGGCGCCACGAGUCAACAAAAGCCCAAAGGGACAUACUAACCCUCGCCGCAUAGUCCUCUCCAGCCCCUUUCUCCUCCCGCUGAACAGAGAUGAUAAUUUUAAGAUUUACCUCCCCCUCCCUGAAUUAUUUUAAUUAAUUUAAAUAAAGUUGUUUUAAUAUCA